rnacentral:rRNA from 1 species
GACGAACGCUGUUUGCGUGCUUAACACAUGCAAGUCGAACGGAAAGGCCCUGCUUUUGUGGGGUGCUCGAGUGGCGAACGGGUGAGUAACACGUGAGUAACCUGCCCUUGACUUUGGGAUAACUUCAGGAAACUGGGGCUAAUACCGGAUAGGAGCUCCUGCUGCAUGGUGGGGGUUGGAAAGUUUCGGCGGUUGGGGAUGGACUCGCGGCUUAUCAGCUUGUUGGUGGGGUAGUGGCUUACCAAGGCUUUGACGGGUAGCCGGCCUGAGAGGGUGACCGGCCACAUUGGGACUGAGAUACGGCCCAGACUCCUACGGGAGGCAGCAGUGGGGAAUAUUGCACAAUGGGCGGAAGCCUGAUGCAGCAACGCCGCGUGCGGGAUGACGGCCUUCGGGUUGUAAACCGCUUUCGCCUGUGACGAAGCGUGAGUGACGGUAAUGGGUAAAGAAGCACCGGCUAACUACGUGCCAGCAGCCGCGGUGAUACGUAGGGUGCGAGCGUUGUCCGGAUUUAUUGGGCGUAAAGGGCUCGUAGGUGGUUGAUCGCGUCGGAAGUGUAAUCUUGGGGCUUAACCCUGAGCGUGCUUUCGAUACGGGUUGACUUGAGGAAGGUAGGGGAGAAUGGAAUUCCUGGUGGAGCGGUGGAAUGCGCAGAUAUCAGGAGGAACACCAGUGGCGAAGGCGGUUCUCUGGGCCUUUCCUGACGCUGAGGAGCGAAAGCGUGGGGAGCGAACAGGCUUAGAUACCCUGGUAGUCCACGCUGUAAACGGUGGGUACUAGGUGUGGGGUCCAUUCCACGGGUUCCGUGCCGUAGCUAACGCUUUAAGUACCCCGCCUGGGGAGUACGGCCGCAAGGCUAAAACUCAAAGGAAUUGACGGGGCCCCGCACAAGCGGCGGAGCAUGCGGAUUAAUUCGAUGCAACGCGUAGAACCUUACCUGGGUUUGACAUGGAUCGGGAGUGCUCAGAGAUGGGUGUGCCUCUUUUGGGGUCGGUUCACAGGUGGUGCAUGGCUGUCGUCAGCUCGCGUCGUGAGAUGUUGGGUUAAGUCCCGCAACGAGCGCAACCCUUGUUCACUGUUGCCAGCACGUUAUGGUGGGGACUCAGUGGAGACCGCCGGGGUCAACUCGGAGGAAGGUGGGGAUGACGUCAAGUCAUCAUGCCCCUUAUGUCCAGGGCUUCACGCAUGCUACAAUGGCUGGUACAGAGAGUGGCGAGCCUGUGAGGGUGAGCGAAUCUCGGAAAGCCGGUCUCAGUUCGGAUUGGGGUCUGCAACUCGACCUCAUGAAGUCGGAGUCGCUAGUAAUCGCAGAUCAGCAACGCUGCGGUGAAUACGUUCCCGGGACU